rnacentral:rRNA from 1 species
UACGUAGGGUGCAAGCGUUGUCCGGAUUUAUUGGGCGUAAAGGGCUCGUAGGCGGUCUGUCGCGUCGGAUGUGAAAACUUGGAGCUCAACUCCGAGCCUGCAUUCGAUACGGGCAGACUAGAGUUCGGUAGGGGAGAUUGGAAUUCCUGGUGUAGCGGUGGAAUGCGCAGAUAUCAGGAGGAACACCGAUGGCGAAGGCAGAUCUCUGGGCCGACACUGACGCUGAGGAGCGAAAGCGUGGGGAGCAAACAGGAUUAGAUACCCCCGUA